GGAGCCAAUUAACACAGUGUUGGGGUGUCCCAGGCUGAGCAUGAACAAAGCAGAGGAACCUUCCUGGGAUAUCUGUACAAGGGGGCAGAGAGACAGACAGAGAGAGGGCUACAGGGCACUGGCCCUCGUGGGUAAGGAAGCUUGGGCAACUUCCCAGCAGACCUGUCACUUCUAAAACUUCAGUUAGGUCCCCAGUAUUCCCGACUUGAAGCUGAAUGAUCAUUCAAAGAAUCCUGUGGGCUGGGCCAAAGGAACCGGACAGAAGGAAGGAGGAGCCUGCCCCUGUGCUGGGUAUCCUGGCUUAACAGAAGCAAGUCUUCUCUACCCUCUGGUCCCUCCCAGUCAGCUGCUCUUCAGGACAGCACAAAUACCCCCACAAUGUUCCCUGCUGACCGGGAACCUGACCCGCGAUGAAGACAGACCCUGUCUACAACCGCGCCUGAGCUCCUAUCUCAGAGACCCUUGGCUUUGCAGGGGUGGGGGUGGGGGGUGGGGGUGGGGUCGAGGUUGUCCCUUCUCUAAAAGACUCGAGCUCCGAGAGUUCCACUGGUUUGGGGUGAAAACAUCUUUCUAUUUUUCUCCAGUGCCCUUGAGAAUUUGUACUCUAACUCCAAGAACCGCUAUGUUAGGCACAUCCAGGUCUAGGACUGGGUCCCUCCCAGACCCAAAAGGCUAAGCCAGUGGCUCUCAGCUUUCCCAACACUGUGACCCUUCAAUACAAUUCCUCACGUUGUGGCAAGCCACAAUCAUAAAAUUAUUUUCAUCGCUCCUUCACGACUGUAAUUUGGCCACUGUUAUGAAUCAUAAUGUAAGUCUUUUUGGAGAUAGCGGUCAGCCAGGGGAGUCACAACCCACGGGGCUAAGGGGGGACUUUCUGCACGUCUCUGACUCUCAGAAGCACAAGGCAAGGAUGCUCUGCGGUGCUCAGUCUCCUUCCUGGUGUGAGCCAUCUCUCUUCCCAGAGCCUCUAGCCUGGCAGCCAGAGGGAGGGGCAUGGCGAGACAGCAAGACUCAAUAGAAGGAAGAGAGAAAUCAGAGCCUGAUUUCCUGACCCAAGCGCCCUGGAAAACUCUGUUACUGGGGAACCCUACAGUACCUUCCCUCCAGGAGUCAGCAGAGAGCAAGGCAGGGGGAGAGGGCCCAGUCUGAGCUGCCUGUGUCUGAGGCCUACAUGGACAACUUCUAGGCUCAGAAGGCCUUUGGGAGUCCUCGCAGCAAACAGCAAGGCAGAGUGGGGAGCCCCGCCCCGCUCCCACCAAAAGGCCCAACACACAUGUAGAGAACAUUCUAAACAGAAUCUCCUAACAGCGCUGCCACUGCUUUGUGGACGAGACCACCAAGGAAAACCAAGAACUGGGGCUUGUGUCUGGGAAGAAGGAGAGACAAUGCGAGAGGCAGUGAGUGAGCCAGUCUGGGUUUGAGCCUCGUUAAAAUCCCCAGGCCAGGGUCUCCCGACUCUGCAGAAGCAGCAGGCCCAGAGCUUCCUUCCUUUCAUACAAAGCGCCCCUGGGGCGAGGCCUUUGGCCAGCUCUGGUUGGCAGUGCGAGUGCAGGCUGCUGGUUUCACAGACCUGCUCCUGAGGGAACUUUCCCGCCCAGAUGCACGGCCUGGAAAGCAGCUGCUUACAGUUGCCCUGCAAGGACCUAGGAGGAGGGGCCUCUGAGCUUGGUUGGCUGGGUGUAGACCAAUAGAAAGCCGUAAAACUUGGUUGGCUGGGUUGCAGACCAAUAGAAAGCCGGAAUCUUUCUUAAGCGCGCCGUUCAUCACAUCACUCGCCUGACCAAGCACCUACAAGGCUUCUCUAUUGCUUGGGGAGCCAAGAUAACGGCCUCUCGCUGGCACCCAUGCCCUCCACUGCCUGCCAGUCCUUUAGCUCAUGGUUCUGGGCCCUCGGUACACAGUCUGUCUUAAGCUAGUUAUUCUUCCCCGGGGACUCAGUUCCCUCUUCUCUAAAAUGGGAACGAGAGAUUCAAGUUCACAGAAUGAGGGGGAAGAUUAGACAAAGAGAAGCAAGCCAGGUUCUAAAUCAAGGGUCACGAGGUGGAUGCCGCUGGUGUCCUAUCUCGACACUACUCAGAACCGCAUCAAGGGCGCGGAAUCGAGAGAGAGGGCAGAGUGUAUAGCAUAGAGGGCUGGCACCAUCUAAGCCUGAUCCUGAACUCUAACAUGCACGGCUCAGGAAGGAGCAGAGGCUAUUGAAGGGGUGACCUGAAGGAUCCCGACUCCGGAAGAGGACUCUCACCAGCAUACUCUCCUAUAGUACGCCCUCCUUCCACCCUGCAGGCCCCACCCCACCUGAAGAUUGGGCGUAGGAAACCUCAGGAUAGAAAGUUCUGGUAUGAUGAUGCGCCCUAAUCCUCACCAAGUUGGAUUUUGUUGUUUAUUAGGUAUUGGGGGGUGGAGUGUGGAGAAAGGUCUUAUGUGUGGCGCAGGCUGGCCUUGAACUUAUGAUUCAGGAACUCAGCUUCUUGGGUACUAUGAUUAUAGAUAGGUACGUCCCUCCUGGCUGGGGUUACCACUGAGUUGAUUUGAGGGUCAAGAGAAAUUUACUUGUAAGCUGUAAAGUGUUGAGCGUGUGGUGGCACCGGGCUUUGGGGGUUACUCACAGCAGCACCAGCAGGGCCAGUCCGUCCUCUCUCACCAGGCAGGCCACGGGGACCCUGCAACACACACCAGCGCGGUUUAAGUGUGAGUUGGCAUAAUGAUGGUCUGCGUCAUGACUUCUUCCCACCCACGGUGGCCCCAUCUCGACCCUAGAUCCUGCUCCCAGGACACAGGGGUUCCUUCAGGGAGACCCCUGUGUCUUCCUGCCCCUUCCUAUGGAGAAUGCAGCUCGGUUCUCAAAACAGAUGAGUCACCCAAAUCAUUGAAGACAAACAGAUUUUUUUUUAAGAGUAACUGAAAUGUGCUUUAAACGUGCCUAACUGUUCCUGUUUCGAGGAAGGGCGUGUGAAAUGUUGAACAAUCUACGCUGCAGGUUGGGUUGGCUCAUAAUCGGAUAAAUCUGUGCGAACAGCUUUGCAUGAGUGCAUGAAGGAGGAAAUGCUGCUGUUUGCAGGGUAGCUGUCUGACAGGUGUUUCGGGAGUCUUAAGAGUGUGGGGUGGCUUCCCCAGGGGUGACUCUCAUACUCACCAUUGGGCCCGGGGAUCCGUUCUCACCAGGGGAACCACUCUCACCCUGGAGAAAGAGACAUAUAGGGUCAGUGUCUGGAGUCUUGGCUUCCAGAAACUUCCUAGGUAAGUCAUCGAUAGGUCUGGCUGGCUCAAUUAGGCCUGAGACAUGUCAAUUUCAGUCCGGGGAGAGACGAUGUCCCCAAACUCUAAGGCCUGCUGCUCAUGUACCAAGAUGUAGACUGGGUGUUCCCAGCUAUGUUCUAACUCCCGACCCCAUCAGCGCCGCCUUGACUGGACAGUUGUCCCCUACCGCCACCCCCUGUGUGUCUUGUGGCCCCUUUACCUUCACACCCGGAGCACCAGCUUCCCCCUUAGCACCGUCGAGGCCUGGGUAACCCUGGGAAACAGGACGAGGGUUCCGUCACAUGUCUGGGAGCCCACCCAGGAAAUAGUGUGCAUAACCCCCAAACAUCCUAUCCCAUGAUACUUACUCUGUGACCCUUGACACCGGGGAGACCCGGGGUUCCUGGGAAUCCACGAGCACCCUGCAAUACCAAGAGGAGGUACUCAGAGGAAAGCAGAGAUUGGGUGAAGGCUGCUGGAUAGACUGCAAGUCCAGCUCCCUCAGGCCUACAGAAACAGGCAUCCAGGUGUGUCCACAGCUCCUUCAGCCCAACCCAGAGCAUCACCUUGUGAUCAUACAAACACGGUAUCCAGCGUGAAGGCAUUACGUACACAGUACCGUUAGUACCGUGAGCUAACCAAGACGAGUGAGCCAUAUGGACUCAGAGGGAGACUGGAAAAGCCUGUGAGAGCGAGGAAGAUGAAGCUUUACCUGAGGGCCAGGGAGGCCUCUUUCCCCAGACUUUCCGGGCUUCCCAGCUUCACCCUGAACAGAAAGAGAGGCAUCUCAUUUUUCUUGGCAGUCUCUUGAGCGUAUUCACUCCACGGCUGGGCAUCUGCCUAUCUGCCCACCUUGACCACGCCCUUCCUGCAGAUGCCCGUGACCCAGAAUGCCUCUGUGGUUUAUCCCUUGGCAAGUUCCUGGGCCCUCACUCCACUGUCCCCAGCAAGCGUCUGGUCCCCUCUCCAGAGCCCUGUGGACUGGCCUGUAUGCCCUGAUCUCCAGAGGCCUUGCUGUGUGCUGCCAGUCAUAAAAAAAAGCUCAAGAAAGCCAGCUCUUCUCUCUAUUUUUUUAUGUCCCCCUCCUCUGUAGACAUUCUGGCUCAGGCUGAGUUUGUCUAUCUCAUUUACAAUUGAGAUGAUGGUAGCCUGUUUGUUGACCGACUCUUGCUUUGUUUUUCUACUCUAUACCGCUGUGCUUUGAGUCCUCCCAUCCCGGCUGGCUCUCUCCUUUCUCAUUUCUCUUCCCGAAGUUAAUGAUGUUUUAAUUACUCUCCUUCUUGUGGGAUCUAAAGGGAUCCCCAGGGAUCUGGCAAGCUGAGAUGCAAAUAAAGGAUAUGUGGGUGGUAGAUAGCUGGAAUUUAGGACUGGCUAGCCUGGUUCCUCAGGACGUCUCUCUACCCCAAGCCCCAGCACAUCCUCUCUCUGGGUCUGGGGCUUCUUGGGUCUACUCACGUCGUCACCAGGUUUUCCAGCAGGGCCAGGAGGACCUCGGGGACCCAUGGGACCCUACAAAUAGAGAAUUCAAGACCUGGUUGGAAGGGAAACACAACUCGAGGCGGUCGCUUUGGAAGCUAGUUACUCUACAAGGAAGAGAGACAAAAAGGCCCCAUUUGGACCGAGACGCUGGCCUUGCUCCCUCCUGGAUGGCGGCCAUGUUUACUAAAGUCUGAAUUUCAUUUAGCAUGUGCCAAGCCAUCGCUGCAGGGUGAGAUUUCCUGCUGGAAGCCUGGUGGAUGCUGAAGAACAGUCGCUGCUGUCUGCAUUCUUCAGUUCUCCUUCCAAGAGCAGUGGCAACCAGCCCCCUAAUACAUCGGCUCUGUGCAUCACUCCGUCCCCCUUCCUCCUAGACACACUAGAGCGUCAUCCAGACUGGCAUCCAUCACCAUUAAAAACCAAACUCCCCAGGGUUAAAUGAGAGGUUUCCCAUAGCUGAUGGAAAUGAGAUGCCCUAAAUCAUCGGCGAAGGCAGAGGUUGCUGGGUCUCUGGCUUUGCGAAAGGUGCCCUCCUCCCGUCCGGUCAGCACAGAACUGGAAUCCUACCAUGGGCCCUUGCAUGACUCCCAUCUGGGCACCACCAGCCUUCUCGUCAUACCCUCCAGCCAUCUGAGCCGCGAAGUUCUGCAAAGCAACAGAGCCGUGUUAGGGGGCUGAGAGGCCCUGGUGUCAUUCCUAAUUGCUCGGAGUUCUACCUAGUCUCUGGUUAUCAGGGACUAGCCGAGCAGCGUUGGUCAGAAUUGCCAAAGGGAUCUGACAACGUUUUGGGAGUGUGCCCUUGCGACAGUGGUAGAAUCACUUCCUUGGAAAGUCAAGUGUUAUUUGUGGUGGUCCCGGUCCCUCACGCUCUGCCUUAUAAACGUUCAUAUUCUGAAACAUUCAUAAGUAAAACAUCGCCUUUAAAAGGCA